rnacentral:rRNA from 1 species
AUUGAACGCUGGCGGCAUGCUUUACACAUGCAAGUCGAACGGUAACAGGGUGCUUGCACCGCUGACGAGUGGCGAACGGGUGAGUAAUGCGUCGGAACGUGCCGAGUAGUGGGGGAUAACGCAGCGAAAGUUGUGCUAAUACCGCAUACGUACUGAGGUAGAAAGUGGGGGACCUUCGGGCCUCACGCUAUUCGAGCGGCCGACGUCUGAUUAGCUAGUAGGUGAGGUAAAGGCUCACCUAGGCGACGAUCAGUAGCGGGUCUGAGAGGAUGAUCCGCCACACUGGGACUGAGACACGGCCCAGACUCCUACGGGAGGCAGCAGUGGGGAAGUUUGGACAAUGGGCGAAAGCCUGAUCCAGCCAUGCCGCGUGUCUGAAGAAGGCCUUCGGGUUGUAAAGGACUUUUGUCAGGGAGGAAAUCCCCAGUGCUAAUAACACUGGGGGAUGACAGUACCUGAAGAAUAAGCACCGGCUAACUACGUGCCAGCAGCCGCCGUAA